AUACGGAGGGUGCAAGCGUUGUCCGGAUUUAUUGGGUUUAAAGGGUGCGUAGGUGGUUUUUUAAGUCAGUGGUGAAAGCCUACAGCUUAACUGUAGAGGUGCCAUUGAUACUGGGGAACUUGAGUAUGGACGAGGUAGGCGGAAUUUGUGGUGUAGCGGUGAAAUGCCUAGAUACCACAAGGAACACCGAUAGCGAAGGCAGCUUACUGGGCCAUAACUGACACUGAGGCACGAAAGCGUGGGGAGCGAACAGGAUUAGAAACCCCAGUAGUCC
rnacentral:rRNA from 1 species